CAGACGGAGGACGGCUACUUCUCACGUGGCGGAUGAGGAUGAUACGUCUCCUCCUCGACAGCUGCUGGACAGCUGCGUCCUCCUCCCCUCCUAGCGGCUGCUGUACCCGCCCAGCACCCUUGGUUUAUCACAGAAAGGCGGUUGGUCUGAAGCCAAAGGUGGAAUGGUGGAAGCCACAGAAAUUGGGCUGGCUCAAGCUACAGCAGGCUGGCACCACCUAAAGAGCAAGAGUUGGCGACUCAGAAGGUCGAUACACAACUGUCAAUUAUAAGAAGGCAUGGCUUCUUCCGGUUCCGUGGCGAGGCCACCGUGUGCUAACCGCGAGGACAUGCCGGACAAGUGGACAGACGCCGAGUUGGAUAAGGUGAAGGACAAAGAUAUGAGA